UACAGAGGUGGCGAGCGUUAUUCGGAAUUAUUGGGCGUAAAGGGCGCGUAGGCGGCUUGACAAGUCCCGGGUGAAAUCCCUCGGCUCAACCGAGGAACUGCCUUGGAAACUGUCUGGCUUGAGGCCGGGAGAGGGUAGUGGAAUUCCCAGUGUAGCGGUGAAAUGCGCAGAUAUCAGGAAGAACACCCGUGGCGAAGGCGGCUCUCUGGGACGGUACUGACGCUAGACGCGAAAGCGUGGGGAGCGAACAGGG
rnacentral:rRNA from 1 species